rnacentral:misc_RNA from 1 species
GAUGAAGAACGUAGCGAAAUGCGAUACGUAAUGUGAAUUGCAGAAUUCAGUGAAUCAUCGAAUCUUUGAACGCACAUUGCGCCCGCCAGCACUCUGGCGGGCAUGCCUGUUCGAGCGUCAUUCCAACCAUCAAGCCCCAGGUUUGUGUUGGAGCCCUGCGGCUGCCGCAGCCUCCUAAAAGCAGUGGCGGGCUCGCUAUCACACCGAGUGCAGUAGAUUUCUCUUCGCUCAGGGCGUGUGGCGGGUUCCGGCCGUGAAACCCCCUACUCUUUAAGGUUGACCUCGGAUCAGGUAGGAAUACCCGCUGAACUUAAGCAUAUCAAUAGCGGAGGA